rnacentral:rRNA from 1 species
GACGAACCGUGCGAACGUUGUUCGGAUUCACUGGGCUUAAAGGGCGCGUAGGCGGACGGUCAAGUCGGGGGUGAAAUCUUUCAGCUUAACUGGAAAAGUGCCUCCGAUACUGAUCGUCUCGAGGGAGGUAGGGGCAUGUGGAACUUCCGGGUGGAGCGGUGAAAUGCGUAGAUAGUCGGAAGGAAGCCGGUGGCGAAAGCGACGUGCUGGACCUCUUCUGACGCUGGAGGCGCGAAAGCUAGGGGAGCAAACAGG